CGUUUAGCCUUUGCAAGAAAAGGUUUGUGAAAUUGUGAACAUGUCAAAGGAACUUGAGAAUCUGACUAUGGAGGUUAGAGGAACGAGAAGCAUCGACAGUGGAACCGUGAAGAUUUGGCGAAGGCUGUGGCAGCAGUAUUUUUAUAAAACUAUCCAAUAAAGUUUUUUAAUUGCAA